AAAAAUCAAAUUCCCAUGGAACAUUUAAAAAUCAAUAAUGUACGGAAGCACCAAUCAAAUUUUACACAUUUCAAAAAUUAAUGAAGUUAUUGCAAUUGUUACUUUGUGAUCGAGUACUACAUUGCACCUGUUACAAUCAUCUAACAAUUUGAAAAUACAUAUUGUUUGGAUUCUGCAAAGGAAGUUAAAAAGAAGGUUUAGACCUACACCAUAGCUCGGUGCCCAUAGUGAUGUGGCGCCUUUUAUGUGUCUCAAAUCAACAGCAAAGUUUGUCUUGCCAAUGUAUUUCUGAUAGAUUUGCAUGCUUAAAUUGCUACCUCUGGCACUGUCAGCAAUCAUACAAACAACAAUUAUUUUUUGUUCUUGUGCCACAUAAUUGUUGUACUAUACAGUAAACAAAAACCUCUAUUCAUUGUGUGCUUAAAAUGAUCGCUAUAGUAAUCCAAAAGUUGGAAAACAUAUAAUACAAUAUAACCUGUUCACUCAACAACUUUGCAACCUUACAUUAUCAUAUAAAGAAACAUGUUAGAGUGAUGGUUUCUUCUAGUUAUAAUUAUCAUUCAUAAAUAGCCAUUACUUGCACAUCAUUGUCUAAACCAAUCAAUUCUCAACUCAGAUGAUUUAGACAAUUGAACUUAAGUGUUUAAUUAGCUAGGAAUAGUAUACACUAUAAAAUUUAAAGGGGAGUGAUUAUAUCAUACCUACACUUUAGGAGCAUCGAUAUACUUUGACAGGAUCAUAAAGUUCACUAUACAUGUGUUGAAACAUGUAAGACAAUUGAGGCAAAGUUUUUUUUUUUUUAUUGUUGUAUAUAAGAAAGACUCCUUGUUUGCUUAUAGUAUAGAUGCAUAUAUGUUUUAGUGUCCACACUUUGAAAUUGCAAUAAUUGUGCGUUUUUUUCGCAUUCUGAUAAGUGAAACAUUGGAUGGAUUUAAGAUUUACCUUCACAUUGAUCCUUGUUGCAUUGAAGUAACCAGUUUCUACAUCAGCCAUAGUGGUAUUAAUCCUUCCCAUCUCUUGCCUUUCUAAGUUGUAUGUUAAGCUAGCUUUACUAUGCCAGGAAUCACAAUAUC
rnacentral:lncRNA from 1 species